UUGUGGUCGCGACGCGAUGGCACUCAAACAGCUUGAUAUCACCGUAUCUGCAGUAGCCGCGCCAGCGUCGUCGGUGAUAGAGAUAGCGAGAGCGAUCUAAUCGAGCAGUCGUUCGGAACCGGACGAUAACCGAGACUUUUAAAGAUCACUGGCGAUCCCACAGUUCAGAACAAUCCGAAUCGGUAUACAUCGAUUUCGUACUGCAAGCGUCAAGAGCCUUACUUAUAUCAUAUAUCCCUUAUGUCGAGAUAGCCGACGCAACUAAUUACGUACGAGUAAGGCAAAACGCGUGUCACAGCUACACCGCUUACCAAACAAUCUGAGUAACAGAAAAUACAUUGACAUAAUUUCGAUUGCCGAAGCAUUAUUCAACGCUCGCCAACAUCAACGGUGCCUGUCGUUGGCUGCAAAGCGGGCAGCAGAGUAAUGCGAAGCUUGUUUGAACGAAUUCGGUAGAAAACCACUGCCGGUCCGCAGGACCGCUGCGUGAACGCCUUUGAGAAGAGAAAUCGAUCCGGAGCGUACGUCUCUUGAGACAACGAAGGCUUUGAUACAAACGUAUGAACUUAGUCUUACAUAGCCAAGCUCGCUGAUCGAGACAGUUCGAUGCUGUAGUCGCGACGCGAAUCAAUUGAGAUUCCCAUAUCCGUAGCAGCCGCCCAAGCAGCGCCCGAAAGCUCCUUGAGAAGAGAAAUCGAUCCGAAGCGUACGUCUCUUGAGACAACGAAGGCUUUGAUACAAACGUAUGAACUUAGUCUUACAUAGCCAAGCUCGCUGAUCGAGAAAGUCCGACGUUGUGGUCGCGACGCGAUGGCACUCAAACAGCUUGAUAUCACCGUAUCUGCAGUAGCCGCGCCAGCGUCGUCGGUGAUAGAGAUAGCGAGAGCGAUCUAAUCGAGCAGUCGUUCGGAACCGGACGAUAACCGAGACUUUUAAAGAUCACUGGCGAUCCCACAGUUCAGAACAAUCCGAAUCGGUAUACAUCGAUUUCGUACUGCAAGCGUCAAGAGCCUUACUUAUAUCAUAUAUCCCUUAUGUCGAGAUAGCCGACGCAACUAAUUACGUACGAGUAAGGCAAAACGCGUGUCACAGCUACACCGCUUACCAAACAAUCUGAGUAACAGAAAAUACAUUGACAUAAUUUCGAUUGCCGAAGCAUUAUUCAACGCUCGCCAACAUCAACGGUGCCUGUCGUUGGCUGCAAAGCGGGCAGCAGAGUAAUGCGAAGCUUGUUUGAACGAAUUCGGUAGAAAACCACUGCCGGUCCGCAGGACCGCUGCGUGAACGCCUUUGAGAAGAGAAAUCGAUCCGGAGCGUACGUCUCUUGAGACAACGAAGGCUUUGUUACAAACGUAUGAACUUGGUCUUAUAUAGCCAAGCUCGCCGAUCGAGAUCGUUCGCGGCGGUAGUCGCCGUGUGCAGGCGCACGACUCGAGUGCCCCCCAUCGCUGUAGGUGUCGACAUUCGCUCGGUUAUGGACUUGUCUUGGGAGCUAAAGAUGGUACGAUAUACAUCUGACGGUUAGGAAGGGAUCCUCCGUGCGAAUUGACAAUCAUCGCUGGCGAGAGACGCUUGGCCGGUGCGAGAAACGCAAGGAAUUGCGCUCUCCAAAUUGCGCCUUCGCGACCGGAUUUGAAAAAAGAAAGAAAAGAAAUGAGAAAAGAUGAAACAAAAGACAAUGAUUCCCGUACAAGUAUGCGGGUGAUAUCGAGAAUUUUAGUCGAUGCUUUGCCAGUGACAAAGGAAAGGAACAAUAAGCGCUAUACAAGAAGAAGAAAGCAACACUUUUGUAAUCCGUCGUUUUUUAUUUUGCUAAAAAUCUACUGCGAUUGUGUCGUAACUCAUCUAACGUACAUGCUCGUUUCGCACUUCUACGUUAGAUUUACACUAUUGAAACGUAUAACCUUACAUAGCUUGGGACCGACAAUUUUAAUCGAGCGACUCGAACGUAUUAAAUUUACGCCGUAUUACGCGCGCAUCAAUCAGCGCGGAAACUUUAAUAUUCUAUUAUCUUCGAUUCCGUUCUGUUCUUCUUACAUUUCCUCUUGGCUGUUACCGCGCAACGCUGCAGAUCUCCUCUGAUGCGACGCCCAUCGGACAUUUGCUGGCGAAAUGACCAAACCGGUUAAACUUAAAAUACUUCGUGCCCUUGAUGGUAGAGCCGCCGAGUUAAGGGGCUGCUGGGGUGCCGCCGUUGGAACAACUCCCGGUUUGUAUCGAUCCUGGAACAGGCGAAUCCAGAAAAGUUGCUUCUUCUUCCUCCUACAUUUCCUCGUUCAUGCACUCGUAUUUCGCCAACCUUCGUUUAUGUUCUUGAAUCGAUGUAAUGCCAUAGAGCAACAAUUGCUUGUUUAGUUCACCGGCUUAUCAUCUGUCCCCUCGAUGAUGUAUUUUAUAAGCGAGCUUUUACUCUUUUCAUUCCAUCCGCCAUUACACGCAUUCUAUAAACGUAUUUUCACGUUGUUCGUUGUUCGCCUAGUUAGUUUAGUUUUCGUCAGUUUCUUACGUUGCUCCAACUAUCUCGUAACGUUCCAAAGGUCUAAGUCCGAUGCAAAUUCCGUUUCAAGGAAUAUUAUUCUUAAACUGCCCCCAUGCUCUACUCACCCUUCAAAUCGAACAAAUAUUCGUGCCGAUCCCCUUAGUUAGUAACCUCUCACAAUUAAUUACCUCCUGAAAAUCUGUCCGACUAUGAAGAGUCAGCAUUACAACGAAUCCAUCCUAGGGAGCAGUCGUGAACGUUAUCGUCGUUGCUUUAUCGGUCGAAUUGAUUCUUCUACAUCUCUGAUAGAGGAAACUUCCACCGACAGACUCAUCGUUCUGCCGUGGACUUGCUCAUCGGUGUCCGCGCCACUGUCCUCACUUUCGUCUUCUUUAUCUCUUCUCAUCGUUAAGGCAGCUUCUACGCGUUCCACCUACUCCUGAUAUCUUUCCUUCGUUCAUAUAGUCGUCUUCAGUUAUAGUCCCGCCUCUUCGAGUUGGCCUUUAAGUUCCGGAAUCGUCGUCUACUGCAGUCCCUCCGCUCGUCAGGUUAUUUUCGACAAUAGUGCGAGAAAGCUCUUCCUGACGACUCGCGGUAUUUUUGCAGCUCCAGUAGAAUGGACAAACAACGACCACUACGGUUCAUUGUCGUCGAAUGUUCGCGAAUUAUUGUCAUGUCCAUCGAAAACAUAUUUUCGAAUAUAACGCAACGGAAAUGGACUCGCCAUGACAAUACUGCGCGCGUAUAUCUACACGCGACCGAGAAGAAGAUCUCAUUACUUCGUAAGGUAAUCAUUACUUAGGUACAAUAACGUCGUCUGAAUUGCCGCCAGCAACACCUCAGGAAACAAAUGAUCGGAACGAAUGUUGGAUCUGAGCGAGGGGAAGCGCACGGAGCAUCUACUAAAUUGCUCCAUCCACACCCGUAUUUAUACGCAGCUCUUAAAAUCAUAGAUACGACAGAAAUAUUUGUAUACGCUAUAUUUUUUUCUAUUAUUUCCGUUUUGUUUCACGUGGUAUUUCCACUUUUCGCACGAUGAUGAUGCCAACGAUGAUGAACCAUUUGCAGGAACAGUCAGGCAUUUGGAGCUUUCCAAGAGGAUGCAUCGUCGAUCGUUUCUCGCUAUGCCUGCCAUGAUUGAAAUUAGACAGUUAUAUCGACGUUUGUGUUAAGGGACAUCCAAUGUCGCGCCAUUAUUUCACCGUUCGAUUAGGACUCCCGACGCGAGAGUCAGAGGCGGCGAUGCGGACGAAGAAAAUCCUUCGAUCGAGCAUGUGAGAGGACCGCGCGCGCACUAUUCGAUACUUUUCUCUUCGACAGUGUCCGAUACUUUACUCGGUAAGGCGCACGAUGGCAGUAUGAUGGAAUGUAUGACUAAACUGUACCUAACGUGUGAAAAAGAUAAAUGCUACCUCGAGUACGGCUACGCUUCUUGUCCCGUGCGUCGUACAAUCAUCGCGAUGCUCCCAAGGGCGUCGUGCCUACGACAGAGCACCUAUCUCAACGUCGACAUCUAACGGCGGAUCAACCUUUGUAUAUAGAAACUUAUGAUUCCAAGCGUAGAACGUGUACGUACGAAGGAACGUUUUGCUUUCAGCAAGUAAAAAUUUGCUGACGUAAACUCUGAUCGAGUGCAUUGCAAAGACCGUAAUAUCUCGAUAACGUUUGUUUUCGUCUUCAUUCCUCACUUUCUCUUGAUUACGACUGCACGUAGGGACGGUGUAAAAAGUUAUACGGCUUCUAUAAUUUUCAAUUUAUUUGAUUAAAUUCACUAGUUGCUUUUACCGUUAAGUAAAGUUGAGUGUUUUACGGAAUAAUACAAUUUUUUUUAUUGAAUGAAUUAUAUUGCGUGUACAAUACGGUGAAAGGAAUCCUAAACAUAUCUAAGACAUAUCCUAUUAUUGUGAAAGCUCCUUCGUUUAUUGGUGUGAUGAUACUGAAGAUAUAUUCAACCAAAUUCUAAAUCCUAGGAAAGUAGGAAUUUUCACUCAUUGUGGCAUAUUUUAGUUAGGCACGAAAUUAUUUGUGAUUGCGGACGAUCCCGAAUCGAAUAUCGAGAAAAGUUCGAGAACUAUGAAUACGUAAAUGCUGCUCUUGGGAGUAGUUCGCUCUCUGCUCCAGGUAUACAUCGUUUAUUAAUAUAUAAUUAUUUAUGUUACAAAUAUAAAUAAAUUAUAAUUUUUUAAGUUAUAAUUUUUCAACGUAAUAUAUACAUACACUAUUACCAGAAAUGUUCUUUAAGAAAAUAGUGAUCUUCGCUGGAGCAAAAAAUAAAACUUUCAGGAACCGUGACCAGGACUUUUAACUUUUUCCUUUACAAGAUUUUUUUCCUAAGAAUCUCAUUGAUACGACUUAUAAAACGACGAGAAAUGGAUGGAAUUAUAUUAGCGUAAUGGAAUGAAUGUUUUUUUAAUAUCUUCUAAAAGAAUGAAAUAGCGUGAAAUGAAUAACCUAACAUGUACUUAUGUGUAUACGUUGUAAGUGGAGAAAGUACGGAAAUGGCUAAUUAUAUCAUAAAAUUUUGACGUAUCAAGAAAAUGGUUCUACGUCGUAGAAAAAAUGUGAACUACAAGGCGAGUCAAAAUGUCACGUAAAAUUUAAUUAUUUGAAGAAGGAACAUGAAGGAGAAAUUAAUUAAAACUGAAUGAAAAAACUGACGAAAAAAAUUCGUCGAACAAUUGGACAAACUAUCUCUAAUUAUAAAGGGAAGGAAAAAUAAUUAUUUCAUAACGAAAGUUGUUACCUUUCUGUUGUUACUAGAAGCGAUCAGUCAAGUAAUUACGAAAUAUAUGAGAAAUUAAUGAAUGGUAUUACGGACGUGUUUAUGGUACCUAGAUAACAUUACAACAAAUGUAGCCUUAGGCAAUACAUUUUUUAUAUUGUUUUAUUUCUUUGAACAUAAAAAUAAUUUAGUAUUUCAUUUUUGAGACACACACGUACACACAAUUUUUGUUCAUAGAGAUAAUCCAAGAAGAGAAGCAACCAAUGUUGAGAUGUAAAUUCAAUCGGGAAUUGAAAGAGGAAAGUGCAAAAGUUAUAUACCUUUGUUUACGUUACAAGAAGAAAAGCCAACAUUUCUCCUGGACUUUUUAUUCGAAUCAUUGCAUGAAGGGAGAAAAUAUUUGGAGCAAGAUAUUCGAGACGAAAUCAAUACGAUCGCUAUAGGUGGAAGCAAUACUUCAGUUACUGCCAUUAGCUUUGUACUUUUAAUGCUUGCUACAUUCCCUGAUAUUCAACUACGGACAUAUUACAUGUACUUAAUUAUUUGUAAUUAUUCAUAUAACGAAAAUUAUUUUUAUAUUACCUUCCUCUUGUCUUUCUCACAUCUUUGAUUACAAUGAACGAAAUAUAUGAGGAACUCAAUCAAAUUUAUGGCUCGUCCGAUCUGAAACAUGUACCAAUAACGCAUGACGAUAUUAAAGAUAUGAAACUUUUGGAAAGAGUGAUCAAAGGAACAUUACUUCUUUACUCCGUAGUUGCUAUCAUCGCUCGGAAAGUAACGCAAGAUGUCGAGGGUAUCUCCAUACAUAAAAGUAAUAACUAUUAUAUUCUUUUAUCGUUAAAAGUAUUAUUAUUAAUCAUAUCAAGGGACAAGAAACUGGAUUGUACAAAAAGGUACUUUUCAACUACAAUCUCCAUCGCAAUGAAAAACAUUGGGCCCAGCCGCUAGUACUCGAUCCGGAUGGGUUUCUUCCGGGGAGACAUAGUUCCUCGAAUUUCUUUCCAUUUAGUUAUGGUUGCAGAAAUUGCAUAGGUCAAAAAUUCGCUAUUCUAGAAAUGACAAUAAUAAUUGCUAUACUGAUACGAAAAUUUAUAAUUAAAAUAGAUAAGCCAAUAGAAGUUGCAGAAAUAGGAGUAGAAUUGAAUCUCUCGUUGAAACCGACCGAAGCAAUAAAUCUAAAAUUUUAGAGAAGCAUAUCGUGUAGCAGAAUACUAAUCCUCUUUUAAUGGGAUUUGCAAUAUUUGACCAGGUAAAUAAACACUGACUGAAAGAGCAAGACGAAUUUUCAAUUCGUAAUGAUGUUUUCAGGUAUAUAAUACUAAAUACGAUGAGAUUUAAAUACGAUAGAGCAUUUAGUU